AACAUUCAAUAGAGAGUGAUGAUAAAUAUUUUUUUUUCCAUUUCAUUCGUCAAUGACACUUACUUACAAAUUUCAAAAAUCUUUUGAUUGUCGCCAAAGUAAUUGUUGAAACUCAUCAUUUACUGUGUGAGUGCAAGAAAGAUCAUUAUCUUUAUUUUCUUCGUGUCAGAAACAGAUCAAAAUGAUACUGAAAGCAGUUGACAUUAUAAAAGUUUUUAUUUUUAAAAAUAUAUUAUUUGUGAUGGAAAAAAAAAAAAAAUACUUUUUGCAAUAAAUUUUUUAAAUUAAUAUUCUAUUUGUUUUUAUAAAAGAAAAAUAAACUUGUUUCAAAUCUGCUACUUCUUUAUUUUUUACAGAAAUGAUUAAUUAACAAUUUAUUGGGUAGUGCAAGAUGAAAGGUAGUGUACAUAUUUAAUUAAACUGAGUUGACAAUCUGUGGAUUACUUGAAGACAACACAUGACUUAAAUCCGUACUCUGGUAUUUCUUAACAAACAGUAAUUAGUCAUGCUAAAAUAAUUGAGCUAAUAAUUAUUAGCGAUGAUCUUUAAGCUGUCAUCAGUUUCAUUUCGCUUGACUCAGAGUUUAAAAAGGUGCAAACUGUUGAAGAAUGAAAUCUGCUACGUUAUGACAAUGAAUAAAUAAAUUAAAAAACUCAUUCAUAAUUUGGUGUAAGGUAAUGAAGACGAAUCAGAAGUUAACAUGAAACAGAGAGGCCAAAAAUCACCUGAAAAGGAUCCUAAUAAUUGUUUAGAAGAAGCCAACGACUUGUAUUAAAAAAUUUUGUAUUGAAUCAUUCAUUAUGGAGAAAAGUUUAUGGUAAAAGUUACAGUAUACUAUGGAAAUGGUUUACUCUUGAAAAAGUAAAUCAGACAGUUCUUAAACCAGUUUAUGCUGAUAACCCCUCAAAGCAUGAUAAUAAAAGUGGCAUGAUACUGAAAGAAUUGAUCGAUCAUAAUGCACCCUCAGCGUUUUCGCGCUUGAGGUAUGCAAUCGCAGACGUCAGAUAACUUAUUUGGUUUUAUAUCCAAAUUUCUUUUCUGAAAAAAAAAAAAAAAAUUAAAAACGCACAGUAAUAUUUCUAAAAGUCAUUUGAUAGAAUUUAAAAAAAAAUUUUUUUUUUUCAAUUUAUUUCUUCAAAAAUUCAGUGAUACUGAAAGUAGCCGACGUCUAAUAAUUUUUGAAUUUUUUUAAAAAAACGUAAAUUAUAAAAAAAUACAUUUUAAAAAAUUGCACCUAUAGUUUUUUCAAUGUCUUACAUGUGCAUAUUUUUACUUAAUUUUUUUUUUCUUUCUUUGUAAUUAAUUUGAUGAAAAAAAAAAUACGAAAAUUAUGAGUUGUCUGGUAACUUCAGGAUCAUAAAAUUCAUAAUAAAAUUUCCCGUUGCCUAUCACUUUUAUUAUCAUAAAGUAUUGUCCCAAGAAAAUUUUUUACUUGGAUUGAGAAAUUUUACGCAUGAUAAAUUAAAGACAAAAAUUUUUUUGGUCGAGAAAACUUUUUUCGGAGCAAGAAAAAAAUUCUUCGGGCACGGUCUGAGAAUACCCUUAAAGUUUUAAAACAAAAAUUUUAAGCAUGAUUUAAUUGUAAAAGUGAAUAAUUAAAUAAUUCAAAUGGCUGCAAAUCAAUUCCAAUAAACUACGGCCCCACCAUCAAAGAACAGUUGCCGGAGAAUGCUGCUAAAGUUUGCGGCGAGUACAUGGCUCGUGACCCAGAAGAAGUCCGCUUCACAAUGAUUGCCCUGGUGGCCAGUGAGCUGUUAUUCACAAUAAUUCAACAAAUGAUUAUCAAAUAAUCCUUUCUUAUAACUAAGAAAAAUAUUUAAAAUAUCAAAAUUGGAUAUUACAAUUAUUAUGACAAGGAAUUAAAUCAAAUCAAAUAACUCAGUAUGCAAUCAAAUUCCGAAUGAAUUUUUAUUUGAUAAUUCAUGUAAAACUUUGUUCUAUAAAUAAUUGUGAUCUUUUUUUAUACACAUGUAUUUAACGGUACUUUAAAUUUAAAAUAAAAUUAAAAAUAAUUAUUUUACAAAAGAAACUCUUUUAAUUUUAAUUUUUAAUUUAUAAAAGUUUAUUAGAGUGAAAUAAUGAAUCCUAGUAAUGGUAGUGAAUAUAAAUUUUAAUUUAUAUCCUGUAACUGCGCUCGUUUGAUUAAUUAAUUGUUACUUUAAUGUCAAUUAAAAAUUGAUAAUAAUUAUUAAUAAUAAGAAGAUGGCUAGUGAAUAAGUGAAUACUGGAUUACGGGUCAACAAACAAAUGCUUCAUUUUUUUUCUUUUUAUUUUAAAUGAAGAAAAUUAAUAUCGGUUAUAGAUUGUAUUGAUAGUGCAGGUUUUAAUGCACAAUCAGCGACCCCCUUCUACUAUCCUAGCCAACUAUAAAACUUUAUGUCAAUAAAUAUAAUAA